GCGAAGGUUGGUUCAUGAAUAUUAAUUACGCUCCUUGACGUUCUUCCAAUAGCCCAGCUUUUAGGUAAGCUUUUGCUACAACACGGGCAAAGUUUGACGUCUUUUUUCAUUCAUGUAACGUUAGUGCUCGCGCCACGACGCGUGGACCGAUACAUUCUUCUCACGAUGGGGACAGCAGUGGGAUAUGCGCUCAGAAAACUCUCGGUUUAUGUAUCAGCUGUGGCCAUGAUAUUAUUUGCGAUCGCGCAGAUGACUCUGUUGAAACUCCUGUCUUUCGUUUCCCCGGGACUGAUGAGGAAAAUUCAUCUGAAAAUGGGAGAGAAGUCGACGAUGACUCAGAACCCCAAAUUCAGAUACGAGGACUGGGGUCCGACUUUCUUUUCUCUGAGGUUCAUUAAAACCGUGCUAUCCGUGAACUGGUGCUCGCUGGGCCUGGAGGCUUUUGAGGGGCACGUUGCUCCGGACACAGCUUUAAUCACCCUGGAAGGACAGAAAACAAGCGUUCAUCGUUUUCUUAAAGGGAACCGUCCACUGGUUCUGAGUUUCGGAAGCUGCACCUGACCCCCAUUUCUUUACAAACUUGACGAGUUCAAACAACUUGUCAAGGACUUCAGUGAUGUGGCAGAUUUCCUUGUUGUUUACCUUGCAGAAGCGCAUGCGACUGAUGCUUGGGCCUUUACAAACAACGUUGACAUCAGUGUGCACAAAAACUUGGAGGAGAGACUGGCUGCGGCCCGGACCCUGGUCAAAGAAGACCCCCUCUGCCCUGUGGUAGUGGAUGAGAUGACCAACAUCACUGCCAGCAAAUACGGAGCCCUGCCUGAGCGCCUCUAUGUCAUUCAGAGUGGGAAAGUUAUCUAUCAGGGUGGCAUUGGACCUUGGGGGUACCACCCUGAAGAGGUUCGAAAAGUUCUGGAGAAAAUUAAUUAAAAGGGAAAAAAUUGAAGUUUUCUAUCCAUGAUUGCAUUGAUAUAUUUGCACUUUUCUGAACUUCUAGUGCUUGAAAUCUUUUUGAGUCCUUGUGUUUGCUUGUGACAGUUACAGAUCAAACCAGCUGGUCUCUGUAUCUUGAUGUUUCAAACACGGGGAUGUAAAGGUUUUUUAUAUAAACAUUGAUAUAUUUUUUCUGCUUUAAGGCAAAUACAUAAUUAUUAUACCAGUAUUGGAUUCAAAGACUACAUAUUCAUCAGCAGAGAUUGUGAAGGGCACCUGUGCUUGUAAGUUUUUUUUUCUUUCUUUUUUUUAACUUGUGACUGUAAAUGAUGCUUACAGAUUAAAACUGUGAUCUGUAAACUGAUAACUCAUAAGUCAUUUGUUCUAAACAAAUUUAGAAGCACAGAUGUCACUGAAUGCACAGAGCUUUCAACAACUAUUCAAAUAAACUGUCAUAUAUAUAUAUAUAUCUC